GAUGUCGCUGAAUAAACUAUAGACAGAUCAUUUCUGAUUCUGCUGGCAAAAGGAAUAUUUAUCAAAUCAUCAUCUACGUACGGUCGUCUGACACCAUGAAUCGUGUACUGAUCAUCCUAUUGGUUGUUGCCCUAGUUGGCAUGCAAAUGGGCGCUGAUGGCGCUGUCACUGCUACCAGUUCAGAGGCAAUGCAAAAACGUGGCGGGCUGUUUUCACACAUUAAAAGUGGCGCAAAGAAGUUUGGUAGCU